rnacentral:misc_RNA from 1 species
CUCCUUUCUAAGGAUGAUCAAGAAUAGGGCUUUUUUUAAAAAAAAUCCCUCCCUUUUUGAUCUCAUUAGACACAAAGUUUAAACAUGUGUUUGUUUAAACUGUGCAUAUGACGCUAACUCUCAAUGAAUCCCUCUCACCAAAAAGAGACCCCUCUUUGCUAACAAAGAGGAUCCCCCCCCCGUCUCUUUGAGGCCCCUACCUCGGAUGAGAGAACUAUUUGAGGGCUUAGUGCUCAUGUGUUGAUACAAUAAAUGCAGGACAUGCCGUCUUCGUUUCUCUUUCUUCAGAUGAUGAUCCCAAGCCUUCUGGCGAUCUCUUAAAAUAAAGCCUAGCCUGCUUUACAAAAAAAACGGGCGUUUAGAUACUCUUUAAAUUCUUAUGAACCUUAAAGAGUAUCCAUUUAAAAAAGGCUUUAUGAAGAAAGCAUUUUAAGCUUUUCCAGUGAUUUAAGAUGAUACCGGGGAAGGUUUUCCGGUUUAUCCCGGAGGGCUUGUAGCUCAGUUGGUUAGAGCGCGCGCUUGAUAAGCGUGAGGGGG